rnacentral:rRNA from 1 species
UACGAAGGUCCCAAGCGUUAUCCGGAUUCACUGGGUUUAAAGGGAGCGUAGGUGGGUUGGUAAGUCAGUGGUGAAAUCCCCCGAGCUUAACUUGGGAACUGCCAUUGAUACUAUCAGUCUUGAAUACUGUGGAGGUUAGCGGAAUAUGUCAUGUAGCGGUGAAAUGCUUAGAUAUGACAUAGAACACCAAUUGCGAAGGCAGCUGGCUACACAAAUAUUGACACUGAGGCUCGAAAGCGUGGGGAUCAAACAGG